GGUGGGAUCGCAUAGUGGUCGAGUGCGCGCGCUUGGAAAGCGCGUAACCUGUAAAAAGGUUCCAGGGUUCGAAUCCCUGUCCCACCG
rnacentral:tRNA from 1 species